rnacentral:snRNA from 1 species
CGGACAAGGGGAAUCCGA